UAUAAACAGGAUUUAACUUAUAAAGUUUGGUUGCUGUAAUCCUUUACAAUUUACUGUACAGAUAUGAAGAUGUUUGUUUAAUACCAUAGUUGGAUAAGAAGAUGGUGACCGAUUUUGACUGGUCUUCACUGAACAUUUGAAACAAAAA